rnacentral:rRNA from 1 species
UACGAAGGGGGCUAGCGUUGUUCGGAUUUACUGGGCGUAAAGCGCACGUAGGCGGGUCGUUAAGUCAGGGGUGAAAUCCCGAAGCUCAACUCCGGAACUGCCUUUGAUACUGGCGACCUUGAGGCUGGAAGAGGUUAGUGGAAUUCCCAGUGUAGAGGUGAAAUUCGUAGAUAUUGGGAAGAACACCAGUGGCGAAGGCGGCUAACUGGUCCAGAUCUGACGCUGAGGUGCGAAAGCGUGGGGAGCAAACAGG